rnacentral:rRNA from 1 species
GAUGAACGCUUGCGGCAGGCUUAAUACAUGCAAGUCGAACGGUAACAGGGUCUUCGGACUGCUGACGAGUGGCGGAUGGGUGAGUAACGCGUAUGCAACCUUCCUCACACCGAGAAAAAGUCGACUGAAAAGUUGAAUAAAGUCUCGUGAUGUACACGUCCCGCAUGAGAUGUGUAUGAUAGAAGCAAUUUGGUGUGAGAUGGGCAUGCGUAUCAUUAGCUAGUUGGUAGGGUAACGGCUUACCAAGGCGACGAUGAUUAGGGGGCCUGAGAGGGUGGUCCCCCACACUGGGACUGAGACACGGCCCAGACUCCUACGGGAGGCAGCAGUAGGGAAUAUUGGUCAAUGGGCGGAAGCCUGAACCAGCCAUGCCGCGUGAUGGAUGACGGCCUUAGGGUUGUAAACAUCUUUUCUGCUAGAGGAAUAUAGUUCACGUGUGGACAGACGACUGUAUAGCAGGAAUAAGGAUCGGCUAACUCCGUGCCAGCAGCCGCGGUAAUACGGAGGAUUCGAGCGUUAUCCGGAUUUACUGGGUUUAAAGGGUGCGCAGGCGGGCUCUUAAGUCAGCGGUGAAAUGUCUGGGCUUACCCUAGGAAUUGCCGUUGAUACUGGGAGUCUUGGAUAAGCAUAAUGACGGCGGAAUGCGUAGUGUAGCGGUGAAAUGCUUAGAUAUUACGUAGAAGACCAAUUGCGAAGGCAGCUGUCUGGGUUCUUUAUCGACGCUCAAGCACGAUGGCGUGGGGGAGCAACAUG